AGUAAAACUAAGUAGUAAGGGUUAAAAUUGGCUGAGCUUGUUUUCGACGAUAUUAACCAUGUCCUGGGUCAAUUCCCAAGUAGUUGAUGCCAGACCAGCUUGGAAAUCAGUAUUAAACUAUGCAAUCUCUGGUUAACAUCUUUAUGAGGCCCUUGUCUCGACGCAAUGACGCCAAAUGAGCUGUCGUCACCGAGGCACCACCCACUGCUAAAAGCCCCGGCGCAUUGAUAAGACAACUUUUACUUUAGUGAGUGCUGGGGCAGAACAAGCCAUUCGAAUGAGUCAAAAGCGCGAAAAGGACCGAGAAGGAAGCAGGAGCGGAGUACAGCAGGAGCCGAGAAGCGAGACUCCUGGGAAAACCUAGUGGUAUGGUUACUGCUAUCCGAGUGCAAAUCUCAGCUGUCCAUUAUCGUUGGGCAUCUGUCCUGCAAUUCACCCCACUGGCACCUUGGCCAGCAGAUAUCUGAUGAGUAC